GUAGGGAAUAUUGGACAAUGGGGGGAACCCUGAUCCAGCCAUGCCGCGUGGAGGAAGACCGCCCUCUGGGUUGUAAACUCCUUUUAUAUGGGAAGAACCGUCCUCAUUAAUGAGUGACCUGACGGUACCAUAGGAAUAAGCACCGGCUAACUCCGUGCCAGCAGCCGCGGUAAUACGGAGGGUGCAAGCGUUAUCCGGAUUCACUGGGUUUAAAGGGUGCGUAGGCGGAUAAAUAAGUCAGUGGUGAAAUCAACGGGCUCAACCUGUUAACUGCCAUUGAUACUUGGUAUCUUGAAUAUGAGAGAGGUAGGCGGAAUGUUGCAUGUAGCGGUGAAAUGCUUAGAUAUGCUACGGAACACCGAUUGCGAAGGCAGCUUACUAUUUCGUAAUUGACGCUGAGGCACGAAAGCGUGGGUAGCGAACAGGAUUAGAAACCCGUGUAGUCC
rnacentral:rRNA from 1 species